rnacentral:tRNA from 1 species
CAUUAGAUGGCUGAAAGUAAGCAAUGGAAUUUUAAACCGUGGAUAGUACAAUAACGAAUAUUUCUAAUGA